GAGCAUCUUCAGAUUAGCCAUGCAAGUCUAAGUACGAGCUCCCGUACAGUGAAACUGCGAAUGGCUCAUUAAAUCAGUUAUGGUUCAUUUGAUCGUACGUGUUACUUGGAUAACUGUGGAAAUGCUAGAGCUAAUACAUGCAUAAAGCGCCGACCUCGCGGGAGGCGUGCUUUUAUCAGACCAAAAACCGACCGGGCUUCGGCUCGUCGCUUUGGUGACUCUGGAUAACUUCGCGGAUCGCACGGUCGAGCACCGGCGACGGAUCAUUCAAGUGUCUGCCCUAUCAACUUUCGUCGGUAGGGUAUCGGCCUACCGAGGUUCUUACGGGUAACGGGGAAUCAGGGUUCGAUUCCGGAGAGGGAGCCUGAGAAACGGCUACCACAUCCAAGGAAGGCAGCAGGCGCGCAAAUUACCCAUUCCCGACGCGGGGAGGUAGUGACGAAAAAUAACAAUACAGGACUCUCAACGAGGCCCUGUAAUUGGAAUGAGUACACUUUAAAACCUUUAACGAGUAUCCAUUGGAGGGCAAGUCUGGUGCCAGCAGCCGCGGUAAUUCCAGCUCCAAAAGUGUAUAUUUAAGUUGCUGCGGUUAAAAAGCUCGUAGUUGGAUUUUGGGCGCAGGCGGCCGGUCCGUCGCAAGGCGUGCACUGGCCGUCCUCGCCUUACCUCCGAUUCCCCGCCGGUGCUCUUGACUGAGUGUCGGCGGCGGCCGGGACGUCCACUUUGAAAAAAUUACAGUGUUCAAAGCAGGCGGUUCGCCUGAAUAAUGGUGCAUGGAAUAAUGAAAUUGACCUCGGUUCUAUAUUAAAUGUUUUUGAACGCGCGGUAAUGAUUAUAGGGAUGGACGGGGGCAUUCUUCUGUCCCCGUUAGAUGAG
rnacentral:rRNA from 1 species